UACGGGGGGGGCAAGCGUUGUUCGGAAUUACUGGGCGUAAAGGGCUCGUAGGCGGCCAACUAAGUCGGACGUGAAAUCCCCAGGCUCAACCUGGAGGGGUCAUUCGAUACUGCCGUGACUAGAGUUCGGUAGAGGAGUGUGGAAUUCCUGGUGGAGCGGUGAAAUGCGCAGAGAUCAGGAGGAACACCCGUAGCGAAGGCGGCACUCUGGGCCGAUACUGACACUGAGGAGCGAAAGCGUGGGGAGCGAACAGG
rnacentral:rRNA from 1 species